AGUUCUGCUUCCAUAGUUGUUGAAAACCCAGAAUCACUUUCUCAAAUGGAUGCUGGGAUGUCAGAUAGCCAAAUGAGUAAAGAAGCUAAGUGGAAAAGCAGUUUAAACACAAAUACAAUAGCAAGGCUGGAUGGGAAAAUGCCUGGCUGCUUUGUCUCUUGUCUGGACAGCAUCUCACUUUCCCACAACAGAUAUGCACCAGUCAGUACCAAUAACAUAAAGGAACUCUGACUAGGAUGAGAGUGAUGAGUGUGGGUGAGUAUACACAUUACAAUACUUACUCACUAGAAAGAGAAAAGCUGAGUCAUUUCAAGAAAUAACUCCUCAAACUACAUGUAGAGUGGGAUUAUUAGCUAAACUAUGAAGGGCUAUUUUUGGAGAGGAAGAAUACAAAUAACUUUACAUUUUAAUCAAGCUUAAUCUUAGGAAAAUAAUUUUCCAUU